UAGUCUAGUGGUUAAGGCUACGGAUCGCCAAUCCGGAGACGGCGGGUUCGAUUCCCGU
rnacentral:tRNA from 1 species